rnacentral:misc_RNA from 1 species
CCCCAGAAAACGAAAAGAAAGUAAAAAUAAAGUAUAUAAGAAAGAAAGGACGCACCUUGUAUAAGUAUUCAUUAACAAAAAUGAAAGCAUUGAAUUGAAUGUUAAAACCCGGUGAUUAGAUGAUGAUUGCAGCUUUCCACAAUCAUAAAAUUCGAAGGGAAUAGAAACCCUAAACUACACUUGGAUUAGCAGUUUUAUAGGCAAUAAAUU